rnacentral:rRNA from 1 species
GUCCACGCCGUAAACGAUGGGUGCUAGGUGUGGGCGGUGUCGACUCCGUCCGUGCCGAAGCUAACGCAUUAAGCACCCCGCCUGGGGAGUACGGCCGCAAGGCUAAAACUCAAAGGAAUUGACGGGGGCCCGCACAAGCAGCGGAGCAUGUGGUUUAAUUCGACGCGACGCGAAGAACCUUACCAAGGCUUGACAUGCACUUGAAUGUCGUAGAAAUACGGCAGCCCUUCGGGGCAAGUGCACAGGUGGUGCAUGGCUGUCGU